CCCAGCACCUCACUGAGACACUUUGUUGGGUUUUGCUUUCACUGAUCACCUGUCUGUAGGACAUGUAGUACUCACAUGUGCACACAUGCUACAAACUGCACUCAGUCAGUAUCUGUAUUUGCCAUAUGUAGUUUUCUCCUUGUGCGUUGUUGUGCUGUCAUUGUGUGUGUGUGUAAGAGAGAGAGAGACUCCUCCUGGCCUGUGCAUUAUAGACCCAAGCUGGUGGUGGUGACUGCUGCUGUUGCCAUGACAGCAGCGCAGCAGUGUCUCCGGCCGUGCAGAGGGUGAGUGGGAUGCCCCGUCCUCAUCUCUCCAUCCUGACUCAGACAACGGUAUGCCGGACAAAAAAAAGCCCCACCCUGACUGAAUGACAAACAGCUCAACAAUGUGAACAGAUUGUCAGGACUGCCCUGAAUGCAGGAUGAGCUCCAGAGGGCUGCCCAUCCAUCCCUCUGUGGGAGAAACAUCUCAACACUGCUCUUAUUUUGAAAGCCACAGCAUGGAGCAGCCAGAAGUUGCAUUACCAGUCUGGCAUGGUGAGAGGCUGCAGUGCGACAUGAACACACACUGACAGUCUU